rnacentral:rRNA from 1 species
GACUUGUGUGUGUUGCUGUUCAGCGGUCUGCAUUCAAAAGAGUGUUACGACAUGCGGCAGUGGCGCCGUAAAAUCUUCAACUGGAUCGCAACUGGACUUAAUUGCCUGGUUGCAGUCAUUCGGUUGAUCGUUUACUGUGAGAAAAUUAGAGUGUUCAAGGCAGGCAUUAUUGCAAUUGAAUAUGUUAGCAUGGAAUAAUAAGAUAAGACUUCGGUUUUGUUUUGUUGGCUUGACGAACCAAAGUAAUGAUUGAAAGGGAUAGUUGGGGGUGCUAGUAUUCAGUGGUCAGCGGUGAAAUGCGAGGACCCAUUGAAGACUAACUUAUGCGAAAGCAUU